rnacentral:misc_RNA from 1 species
AGAUAAUGGUAUUGCCUCACAGUGGAAAGGUUAAGAAGCUAAAAUACAGAAACAAAACAAAUAAGAAAAAAACAAAAAAAAAAAAAAAAAAAAAGAGAAACAGUAAUAGGCGUGAGGAGUAAAGCUAAACUAAAAUCAAAUGGGGUUCGUACGCUGUUGGGGUUUCUAUUCUUAUCGAUUUCAACCAAGGGAUCUUAAUCGUGGCAGUAAAUUUUCACACUGUGAUCUGACUUCUUAUAACUAGAUCAUUGUGCUCAGAAGACCUUCUGUGUCAAUGAGAAUUCAAAAGAUUGGCCAUCAGAGUUUCAAACACAGUAAAACAUUUUUUGUAUCCAAUGCUGGAGAGAAGGAAAUAGAAGAUAACCCUGUCUCAGGAGCAGACACGGGUGGAUUCUGAUGAUUUUGAGCUCACUGAGUUGUGCUGUGAGCUUGGCUUGGUAGAAGGUCAGCUGUGUGGCAUACCAUAUGAACUCUUUGAUCUGCCAGAUUUGAGGGAAAUAUUAUCAUUGGACNNNNNNNNNNNUUCUUGUUUGACAGAGGAAGAAAGGUUCUGGCUGUCGGCUUACCUUCCAGAUAUGGACCAGCAGACUUUUUGUUUGACUAUGAAGGAGCUUUUUGAAGGUAGUGAUCUAUAUUUUGGGAACCCAUUGGAUGUGUUUUUCAAAAGAUUGAG